rnacentral:lncRNA from 1 species
UGCGAGUGAGCUUGAGAUUCGAGCCUUGAAGCGACCCAAAGCGUUCCUUGGGUCUGGGCGCUUGAGGUCUUCGGUCCGGAGCACCAAGACUGAGCCUCUGUCCUGUGGGGUUUUCAAGCCUAGUUUGGCCUUCUCCAAGCGACGUUUUCUGGCAUAUUCCUGCUGCCUGCCGCUGGAAACCAGGCGAGGCAGCGGGUAAGGAGACCGAAGGGAGAGGCUGACAGAGUAUCUCAGCGAAUCCUGGGCUCCGGUGUUUCCACUCUCUAGCACUGGGACCACCAUCAUCUUGCCCCGCGUGGGUGUCUGACCAAAACCCUACGAACAGCUGAGGUUCGUAAGAGGGUGGACGAAGGGGUCACUCCCUGCCCUGACUGCUCAACCUGACUGGGCAUCCAAGGUAGUGUAUCUUCACAGGCCCACCGCAAGGCUGGAGUUCGGGACCUUUUACCCGAACAACGCUCGCCUAGAAGCUACCCAAACUCAGCGAGUGGGACGGAGAAAAAUGGAAAAGAGGUGAAACGAAGGGUACUCCCUCAGGGGAAGUCCAGUGCCCCACCCCACCCCCAGUCAAAGCUCUUACUCCAGACUUCAUCGACCCGCCUUUCCCCACUUCUUCUGGUCUUCCCCUGGCAUAUUCCAGCCCGUGCCUUAGAAACCGAUCUAGUGCUCUGUUCUAGGUGUGUGCCCUCUGAUCUCCAGGCGUGGAGAGCUGAGGUGGUGAGUAGAGAAAAGAGCCGCGACCCGCACAACAGAGGCAAGGCCUGGAGGUGCUAGGCAGGUACUCAUUGAAGAGGCGCUUGCCUGGGCACCUAGCAGCCUGUGUCAAGCCGGAUGCUCUUUGCCCCAGGCAGGUGGCCUUUUCCUAGAAAAAGUGCAAAAUAGGAGACUCUGGCUGGACACACUUUUUUCAACAAACCCAAGGGGGACUUGGUGUCCUGAUACUUGGAUGGAACCUCGAGUCUUCUACUUUUGAUUCCCCCCCCCCAGACUUAAAGGGGUGGGGUGGAGGGCUGGAACUGAGCAUGCAGUGCUGGCCAGGAGGGCCCCAUGCAGGGAACCCCUCAAGCCACAAACGCAUGACCUAUUUUUAAACCACUGAGUAACAGCGAUUGGAGUCCUUAACAAUUUCUUACCAAAAGAAAAAAAAGAAAGAAAGAAAAUAAAAAAACGUGAAGUCGUUUUUUGAACCCUCCAAAUGAUGUCUAGGCUAGGAGUGCAGGAUCCUGAAAACCAACUUGGCCUUGGCUUCAGGAUCUUGGUGCUUGUCCUCCUCCACCAGCUCCCCAAUGCAGAAGUGCCCCCUUGUAGCUUUGCUUGCUAUUGCCCUCAAAGACACGGGCCAGCAAUCUCCUCCCUAUCCUCAUGGGAAUCAGAAUCACACUGAGAUGUGUUCCUUCCCUCCUCAGCCGGAGGGAGGGUGGCUUCUCCGUUUACCUCUGUCUCCUACAUUCCACACAGCUUGUUGCCAAUGGUCAAAACCUUCUGCAUGUGGCAGCAUGUUUGGAGAGGU